UACGUAGGGUGCGAGCGUUGUUCGGAGUUAUUGGGCGUAAAGGGCGUGUAGGCGGCUUGAGAAGUCUGGUUUGAAAUGCACUGGCUUAACCGGUGCGCUGGGUCAGAAACUGGCAGGCUAGAGUUCAUGGGGAGGAGCUGGAAUUCCAGGUGUAGGGGUGAAAUCUGUAGAGAUCUGGAAGAACACCGGUAGCGAAGGCGGGCUCCUAUGGAUGGACUGACGCUGAGGCGCGAAAGCGUGGGGAG
rnacentral:rRNA from 1 species